GUCGCUGCGCUUCAUUUAUCCGUAUGCCUCCCUUUCUUCCUCCCAUUCUCCUCCCUUUCGUUAAGUCAAGCUUUAGGAAUUUUUCCCUCUCAGUCUGUUUGAUUCCCGGCAAAAGUGCCAUUUUCCAGUCGUUUCAAACAAAACCCUGCGUUUUUUCUAACUUUCACUAUUAAGGUUCUCUUACAAAUUAUAUUACUUUCAUUGUUAAGCAUUCUCUUAGAAAAUACUUCACCCAAUACAUAGUGCCAAAGCACAUCAACUUCCGCCAAAACAUAAUUUAAUCAAUAGGGGAUAAGAAUUUCACCCAUAUGCCAUUCUGUUUCAAACCAAAACUUUAAAAUUUUCAUCUCCAAUAGCAACAAAGGUAGAGAAGUAAUCAGUGGAGGAGAAGAAGUUUAUCGUCUGCGAGAAAAAUCCAAAGAUACAUCAAAUAUAGUUCACACAAGCCGCUUGAAAUACGAGAAAUCGAAUAGUUCAACCUUCUAAAAUCUGGAUUAACAAGCUACAAACCAGUGAUGAUGGAAAGAUUUAUGUGUGCUCAAAAACUAACUUUUAUUCCUUUGAAAGCAAUGGUUCUGUCGCAUGGACGUUGUCUCUCAAUUAUAAAUGCAGCCCAAGUAUAGCUCCAGUUCCAGGGGAAUCAAGAAAGGCGAGGCUUCCACACUAUUCUCAUUCGUAAGAGACGUCUUUUUAUAUCCUCAUCCUCAUUUCUUACUGGUGUAUGUGCAUAUGCUUUGUAAUUAUUUCUUCCUACAAUUUUUUGCAAAUUCCUCUGCUUUCAAGCAGAAAAACCAAACCCAAAAACGCAAACAAACAAACACCACUUCAAAAGUCCAAGCCUUUUAAAACUCUUUUGACUCCCUUAUUUCUCUUCCUCUCUCCCUCUUCGUCCUUCGUGAUGCGUCCAGCAGAUGCAACUUUUCCCUUUUAUUUUUUCUCAAUGACGAGGGCCAACAGAUUUACUCUAUCUUCAUCUUGAUUGGUUUCGGAUGCAUACAUCUACCCUGUACGCAAAUGUUCAGACUGUUGGAGGGAGCUAAUGAGAUUCACUUGUAUAGGCAUUUGGAAAUUUUUCUUAUUUACUUCCUUCUUGACACAUGAGUUAUAAACUCGAUUUUUUCCUCUUUUCAAAUUCAAAAGCCAUUCUUACUAACGCUAAUGGGAGAGCUCUGAAGACGUGGUUUGGCGUACUAAAUUAGCACUUCUUUCCCAUGUCCAUCUUUUAUUAUACUAUUCUGCACGUCUCGCACUACAAUGAAUUUUUUUGUCUAUAUUAUAUCAGUUAUACGCUAAGUUAUAAUCUGAUAGCGAAGUCGCCUUUUCUUAGUACAACAUAUCAAACUUUAAUUGUAAUCUAUAGCAUACUACAAUUGUAUACCUAUAAUUUAAGCAUGACUUAUGCAUGUGUAUUUUUGCUAUAAUCGUAAUGGAUAUCCGUGCUUUGGCUACACUCUUUGAUUUUAAUGUAUUCGUAAGUUCCCUUAAAUAUUAUUUAACAAUGUGUGAAGUUUCAACUUUUAUUUUGCGGAUGCGCAUUGCAUAAUGAAUCUGUUAGUGAUGAUUCGCUGGUUUUGUCCCUUUUCAGUUUUUAUCUGUCCCUUCAUUUGGUUUUUCACAUGCUGGAGAAGACUGCAAACUUUCUUUUUCAUUUCUUUUGAAGUCCUUUGCUUUAGCUUCCAAGGCAAAUUUGAUCUCUUCUAUGAAGCUGCAGAUUUUGAUCCCUCGGGAAUCCUUUUCCAAAAAUUUCACACAAACAUCUGUUCGUAGUCAUCAGUGUCUUUAGUACGUACUACUUUAUAAGUUAUAGCAUUAUAAAGAAUUUAGUACUUGCUACUUUCUUACUUUCUAUAGUAUUUUAGAGAAUUUAGUACUAGCUAUAAAAUCAUGUGCACUAAAAAAGUUAGCUUCGUCUUGAACAUAAUCUCUCGGCUAAAGGAAAAAUAUUGAACUUUCCGGAGAAACACCUUUUGGAUAUGAUGCCAACCUUAUGAAAGAUGUCUCAAAUGUGAAGGAUUGAGAUUUAAAUUUGAAGUUUGAAGGAUUUUUAUUUAGAUCUCUCCGUCUCUCUUUGAUUGAGUGUAAAAAGGUGGCUAGGUAAUUAAGUUUUCUCUGACUUUUAUGGUGCAUCACUUUUUCUAAUUUGUAAAAUAGCUAUAUUGUUAGGGAUGCAGGACGGAAUAUAUGAUGCCACAAAUACCACAAGGAAAAGUAGGAAUAUGCUUUACUAAAACGGCUAAAGGAAAAUACCCAGUAGAUUUUAGUAAAUUAUUCGUAUAUAUCGGUAUCUUGAUAGGAUUUUAUAUUGUCUUAUGUUGUAUUUUUCACAAUCAAUGAAAGUCUUAACUUAUAUCUGAUGUUGGAAGGUGGAACGUAGGGAUAAUAUCUCGGUCUUCCUCAUUCUUUGUGAAGUCAAUGUUCCCAUCAUUGAUUCAUUUGAGAGGAAGUCAUUGCCUUCUUUUCCGUUGUCAGCAAGAUUUAGUAUUAUGAAGUCUCUCUCACUUUGUGCAACUUCUACCUGUGAAUAUCAAAGUUUUCAAGCUUCUUUCUAUUGAGAAAGAAGUAGAGUUAAUGGACAUCAAUUACGUAGA